rnacentral:rRNA from 1 species
AUUGAACGCUGGCGGCAGGCUUAACACAUGCAAGUCGAGCGGAGUGAAGGUGCUUGCACUAUCACUUAGCGGCGGACGGGUGAGUAAUGCUUAGGAAUCUGCCAUUUAGUGGGGGACAACAUUCCGAAAGGAAUGCUAAUACCGCAUACGUCCUACGGGAGAAAGCAGGGGAUCUUCGGACCUUGCGCUAAUAGAUGAGCCUAAGUCGGAUUAGCUAGUUGGUGGAGUAAAGGCCUACCAAGGCGACGAUCUGUAGCGGGUCUGAGAGGAUGAUCCGCCACACUGGGACUGAGACACGGGCCAGACUCCUACGGGAGGCAGCAGCGGGGAAUAUUGGACAAUGGGCGGAAGCCUGAUCCAGCCAUGCCGCGUGUGUGAAGAAGGCCUUUUGGUUGUAAAGCACUUUAAGCGAGGAGGAGGCUACCUGGAUUAAUACUCUAGGAUAGUGGACGUUACCCGCAGAAUAAGCACCGGCUAACUCUGUGCCAGCCGCCGCCGUAACAC